UCUUAUGGUUGUGCAAAGAAAGUGGUUUCUUGAGAUAGAAUUGACUCCUGGUGAAGAUGCUGUGAA
rnacentral:pre_miRNA from 1 species